ACGGAAGGCAGCAGUGGGGAAUAUUGCACAAUGGGGGAAACCCUGAUGCAGCGACGCCGCGUGAGCGAAGAAGUAUUUCGGUAUGUAAAGCUCUAUCAGCAGGGAAGAAAAUGACGGUACCUGACUAAGAAGCUCCGGCUAAAUACGUGCCAGCAGCCGCGGUAAUACGUAUGGAGCAAGCGUUAUCCGGAUUUACUGGGUGUAAAGGGAGCGUAGACGGAACAGCAAGUCUGAUGUGAAAGGCGGGGGCUCAACUCCUGGACUGCAUUGGAAACUGUUGAUCUUGAGUGUCGGAGAGGUAAGCGGAAUUCCUAGUGUAGCGGUGAAAUGCGUAGAUAUUAGGAGGAACACCAGUGGCGAAGGCGGCUUACUGGACGAUAACUGACGUUGAGGCUCGAAAGCGUGGGGAGCAAACAGGAUUAGAUACCCUGGUA
rnacentral:rRNA from 1 species